rnacentral:rRNA from 1 species
CCUACGGGGGGCUGCAGUGGGGAAUAUUGCACAAUGGGCGCAAGCCUGAUGCAGCCAUGCCGCGUGUGUGAAUAAGGCCUUCGGGUUGUAAAGCACUUUCAGCGGGGAGGAAGGCGGUGAGGUUAAUAACCUCAUCGAUUGACGUUACCCGCAGAAGAAGCACCGGCUAACUCCGUGCCAGCAGCCGCGGUAAUACGGAGGGUGCAAGCGUUAAUCGGAAUUACUGGGCGUAAAGCGCACGCAGGCGGUCUGUCAAGUCGGAUGUGAAAUCCCCGGGCUCAGCCUGGGAACUGCAUUCGAAACUGGCAGGCUAGAGUCUUGUAGAGGGGGGUAGAAUUCCAGGUGUAGCGGUGAAAUGCGUAGAGAUCUGGAGGAAUACCGGUGGCGAAGGCGGCCCCCUGGACAAAGACUGACGCUCAGGUGCGAAAGCGUGGGGAGCAAACAGGAUUAGAUACCCUAGUAGUC